CAAUAGCGUAUAUUGAAGUUGUUGCAGUUAAAAAGCUCGUAGUUGGAUUUCGGAUGGGAUUUGCCGGUCCGUCGUUACGAUGUGCACUGGCCAGUCCUAUCUUGUUGUCGGGGACUAGCUCCUUGGAUUCACUUCCUGGGACUAGGAGCUGACGAGGUUACUUUGAGUAAAUUAGAGUGUUCAAAGCAAGCCUACGCUCUGAAUACAUUAGCAUGGAAUAACACGAUAGGACUCUGGCUUAUCUUGUUGGUCUGUGAGACCAGAGUAAUGAUUAAGAGGGACAGUCGGGGACAUUCGUAUUUCAUUGUCAGAGGUGAAAUUCUUGGAUUUAUGAAAGACGAACUUCUGCGAAAGCAUUUGUCAAGGAUGUUUUCAUUAA
rnacentral:rRNA from 1 species